UCAUCCCUUUCAACUCAUUUUCAUCCAUCAUCCCGAAGGAGGAGCAUGGGAUGAUGAGUAUGAUGAUGAUGAUGGGAGAUGGAACAGUAGAGGAAAUGAUGGAAAACGGGUCGGCAGGUGGGUCAUUCGGGUCGGGUAGUGAGCAAGCAGAGGAUCCAAAGUUCGGAAACGAAUCUGAUGUUAAUGAACUUCAAGACGAUGAACAACCUCCUCCGGCUAAGAAGAAACGUUAUCACAGACACACUAAUCGUCAGAUCCAAGAAAUGGAAGCGUAUGUUU